AUAGCUUCAUAAGUGAGAGCGUCGCCAACAAAUUAAAGUUAAUGCCAUCGAUCACUUGGAUGUGAAUAUGUUUUGUAUGCACAUCGUCUUCUCUGCUUGUUCCAAUUCUCUGCAAAUCUGCUCAGUCUACCAAAUAAUUUCGCAAAACAUCUCUUUAUAUGAUCCAAAUGCAAUGUCAUAUAUAUAUGUAGGCUCUCUACUGCAUGCAUGCUACACAUUCAUGGAAAUGUUUCAUAAAAACCUGUGCAGUUGGAAUAUAUAAAUCAGAACAUGCAUGGAGGCAGAGUUGUAAAGUUACAGCUUUAUGGAGCUCUCGCUAGCUAGCUCCAUGCAUGGGACGACACGACGAUCAGUGGCAUGCAUGUGUCCUGCUUUGAUGUAUGAGGAAACAAGGGGAAGGAGACAACUACUCAUGAACCUUAACUUUUGGCCUAGCUAGCCUUCCGAUCGAAAAAACAAAAUAUAUAUGACAUCUGUUCGUAGAUGGCAGCAGUAUUUAUUUAUUUGCAUCUAUAUAUCGAGAUAGAUAGUCCAUAAUCUUCAGGCCAAAGGGUGAGCAUAUUUUUAUCUGUUUACUCCUAAUAGCUUGUAGUCUGCCCCCAAUCGAAAAGAACACAUGUAGAUGUAGAGCAGUAGUAUCUUUGAGAUUACUGCCCUUGGUUCUAAUUUGUGGAAAUUAACAUAUAGAACUAGCUAGAAACACUUGUUUGUGUACGAUCAUUGAUCGAUUUAUGAGCAAAAUCAUUUGAUACUCAGGAGAUAUAUAUGCAGACUGAUCAUACAUAUGAGACCACCGUUAAUUAGAUGGGGAUUUGGCCAACAAAUCUCUUAGAUUAAGAUGAACUAGAAACAAAGAAGUCAUGUCUAGGAGAGAGAAAGGUAAGCAAAAGAGAAGAUAAGAAGAUCCUUCAUGCAUGCGAAAAGGGAUAGCGAUGAU
rnacentral:lncRNA from 1 species